GAUGAACGCUGGCGGCGUGCCUAAUACAUGCCAGUCGAGCGAACAGACGAGGAUCUUGCUCCUCUGACGUUACCGGCGGACGGGUGAGUAACACGUGGAUAACCUACCUAUAAGACUGGGGUAACUUCGGGGAACCUGAUCUAAUACCGGUCAAUAUAUUGAACCGCAUGGUUCAAUAGUGCAAGACCGUUUUGCUGUCACUUAGUCAUGGAUCCGCGCCGGAUUAGCUAGUUGGUAAGGUAACGGCUUACCAAGGCAACGAUGCGUAGCCGACCUGAGAGGGUGAUCGGCCACACUGGAACUGAGACACGGUCCAGACUCCUACGGGAGGCAGCAGUAGGGAAUCUUCCGCAAUGGGCGAAAGCUUGACGGAGCAACGCCGCGUGAGUGAUGAAGGUCUUCGGAUCGUAAAACUCUGUUAUUAGGGAAGAACAAAUGUGUAAGUAACUAUGCACGUCUUGACGGUACCUAAACAGAAAGCCACGGCUAACUACGUG
rnacentral:rRNA from 1 species